ensembl:lncRNA
GGGGAGAGUUACCCUGAUUUCAGAGCUGCCCUGCUCUGCUGGCUCGGAGUUUAUCUGUGCUCAAGGCCAGCAUAAAUCACUCCUGAUCUGGAUCAGAUGUGUCCUACUGGGCAAGCAGCAGAGCACAGAUCGAAGAUUAAUGAUCACCAAGGCAGAGACCUGGGCCCCUCUGCCAGGAGAAGAUGAAGCAUCCUCUGGGGAGCUCUGGCUCUGUCUGACAACGCUGGGAGCCUCUGCAGACAGCCCAGAGCAGACGGCUGGUUUUAGAUAGCUGGGGUUAGGGCAGAUGAAUUUCUCUCCUGAGAAGCUACCGGAUGUGACUGGUGUCUGAAUUGUAAUUUUCCAAGCCUUCAGGCAUGGUUAAGACACAAUAAAAUCCUCAUGCUGCGUUUGGACCAAGAGUGAAAAGUUCCACCUGAUAAUUCACCCCUGGCACAGUAGGGUGACAUCAAACCCUUUCUUUCUGAGCAUUCAUAGACUCCUGGAAUAUUCUGAGCUGGAAGAGAUGCACAGAGAUCAUCCAGCCCAGCUCCUGUCCCUGCACAGACCCCCCCAAAAUCUCACCCUGGGCAUCCCUGGAGGGGUAUCCAAACCCUCCUGGAGCCCUGGCAGCCUUAGGGCCAUGCCCAUUCCCUCUUUAGGACCCUUAAACAAUUUUUGCAGCUGUCAGGAGAAAUAAACCCUCGAAGAAAGGCAAAAUUUGGUACCUUCAAGCAGUACCUUCCCCACCAUCUCCCUGCAUGGCUCGGUGCAGAGCCUGUGGGUGUGCACAGGAAAGGAGCUGGGACACAAUGAUGGACCAGGACUGGCCUGGCACCAUGAGAUGUUUUAGGCGUGACCGUCACCCCCAGGGUGGGCAGCCACUCACCAGUGGCCAGCUCAGCUCUGGGUCCUGUUUUGGGGUGGUUUUGGGAUGUUUUUUUGCCCCUGUGCCUCGUGCUGGUGAAGCUCUGCUGCAGGAGUGAGGUUGUGCCUUCUGAAGGUCACAGAGUGGAUCUGCUGGAGAUGUCCCUUGCCAAAUGUAACACCAACAGCUGCAGAGAGGGGGAAAGCCAGGGGAAAAGACCCCAGUGGGGUUUACACUUGCACAGGGAGCAGCAGGACCCAGUGUUAUUAUUAGCCAGCAGUGUGCUGGGCCAUUAUCUGCCUUGACAGCUCCAGACCUCCAGGCUGCCCCUCCAAACGCUGCUGCUGCUGAUGUGCUGCAAAUGUUAAACAGCCACACUGCAAUUAUUUGACAGCAAUACAACUCCCCCUGUGCCCUCUGGCCCUCAGGCACCCGUGGCUUCCAUGGGAAAUGCUCCACCAGGAGCAGGGAGCUCCCAUCCUGGCUCCAGGAAGAUGUGGAAGAUGUGACUCCAAUUUGCUUUCACAAAGUACGCAGUUGCUCACUCUGGUCAGGAUUUUGUGCUCCCAGGAUGAGGGAUGCUUCCAUGACUGAAGUCAGAAAUAACAGCUGGAGCUGAGAAAUUGUUCCAUUUCCUAAAGAGAAACCAGUGCUUGAAUCACAGAAUUACAGAAAGUGCCAAGUUGGAAGGGACCCACAAGGAUCAUCCAGUCCAACUCCUCGCCCUGUGCAUCACCCAAUCAAUUUAGAUUCUUGCACACCAUUCAAAACUUUAAUUUUGGUGGAAGAAAGCGUAACAGAGGAAACCAAUAUUAUUAUGGAGAUUUGUAUGUUUGAGUAACACUCCAAAGUAUUUUUUUUGUUUCCUCAGAUUAUUUUUUGUAUGAAUAAGGUACACCCAAGACCUGAGCAGGUUUUUGUUAAAAAAUAACGUGCCAGUCAUAAGUCCUGCUGUCCAUAAAAAAGAGUUUUCCUUGCUCAGUCUUUAGCUAUGUGCAAAAAGAACCAUUCAGAACUGCUACUGUGAUAAACUGAAGGGGGUUAAUGCCUGGAAAAAUGCACAAAUCAGGAUAAUGGCAUUGGCACAAGACACUGGAGAGAGCAAAGCAAAAAGGAGAGAAUUAUACCAAAGACAAUCUGAGUUUGGUUUCAUAAAGUUUCCCUAAAUGAGGGCUAGGAUGCUUUUAAACCAUCUCAAAAGGAGCAAAACCACCCCAUGUUUUCAGGUAGAUUUUGAGCACCUGGUGAAAGGAUUUUUUGCAAGUCUUGGGCUGGGUUGUGGCUGCAUUUCUGCCUGGCUGCUGCAGAGAGCCUUGGGGGAUAUUUCUGAAAGAUCAAUACAGCCAGAGAUGCUGGAGGGAUCCUGUUCCUUUUUCAUGCUGUAAAAUUUAAUUUAAGUACCAAAUAAACUGGGGUUCCUGCCCAGCCCUGAGGGCUGACAUGAUUGUGCUGUGUUUGCUGAGCCUUCCACUGAUUUCUGAUGACUGCAUUACAUCCAUGAGGGAUAUUUUUUGCAGAUCCCACCCAGAAGACCUAACAUUUUCAGUUCUUAGGGGGAUCUCAUCCUGAUGGCAACUUCUGAGUGAGAAACAUUCUUUUUACUGCCAGAGGAAAGCAGCCCAUGGCUUUCAGUGCCUCUGUGGCCACUGAGCAGUGUCUGAGUAAUGCCUUGCCAUUAUUAUUCCAGAAACGUGUCCACAAACAAAUGGAAAGCCAAGAAGUGGUGCUUUGGUAACAUUUCCCAGCAUUGAUUUUAUUUGGAAUUAAAUUAGUCUUAUUGGUUUAUAAAUUUCAUCUGUGUGCAGUGGGCACCAGAAUCCUCAUUCCUUCCCAUUUAAGGUGUGCCAUGAAAUUUUAUUAAAACCUUUUUCUCCACAUUUACUCACACACAAUUUUUUUUUUUUCAAUCAGCCUCUCCGUAUGAAAAAAUGCUCACAAAAGCCUCAUGGAGGGAAAAAUGAAGGUUUAAGUCAGGAGUUUGAAAUUAAUGAGUGGCAAUGAUGUCUUUCCUCUAAGUUCUUCUGCCCCUGGCCCAUCAGAGGUCACCUCAACCACCAGCAUGUGAAAUUAGGCCAGGAGUAGGGUUUAGAUUAAUUAGAAAGAGAUCUGGAUCAGGUAUUAUCUGGUGCUGAGCCACCUCUGAAUAAAGUCAAAUUAUCCACUUCAGAGCUGCUCAUUAUCUGCUCACAUUUUUGAGUGGAUGAUGAUGGUUUUUCACUUGGAACACGGCAACCAACCUCCACUUAGAUCCUGGCACUGCUGCUGUGCAGAGCCUGUGGUCAGGCACCCACAGCACAGCUCUUAUUUGGAUAAAAUUAGCUGCAGGAAACCUAUCACUGAAAUAUUUUCUGCUCCUCUGCCAUGGCAUCAUUUGGCUGUUUUAUGCUCUAGUAAAUAACAAGUGAACUCAGGUGGAAGAGGAGACAAUAGGCCAGGCUGAUCUCACUGCCCCUAUCACCAAAUACCACAGUCAGGAAUGGUUCCUCUGAGGUGGGCUUAGAAAAAAGGGCUGGCCAACAGGGUUGGGAAGUUUCUGCCUCCUUUCCCAACAAUCAGGUUUAUUGAUGCCACAUUAAAUGCUCACAGCAGGUCACAGAAGAGCAUUUGUGCAUUUUCUCUGCUCUGUGUUGCAGCUGCUUUGCCGGCAUGAAGCAGAUUUGGAAGCUUUGGGAGAGUUUUGUGGUGUUCAUACAGAAAAAUAACGCCCAAGCUGAAUAAAGCUGGGUUUGGGUAGCCUUAAAUCAACUAAAUUCAGGCAUGUGAGUAAAAUAUGGAAACCCUGCCCUCCUUUCUGGAGCUGGGGCUGCAUGUGGACCAUAGAUCUCAUUCCCAAAUUUCCCUGCCACAGGAGCACAGGGAGGAGCUGGGCUUGUCCUCCUGGCACGUCCCCUCCAAAGUCACUUCUGGUGCUCAAAUCACACUGCUUUGGGUGACCUCAGCGCUGCCCUGGGAGUCUUUACCAGCAGCAGCUCUGGAGGCAGGAGAGGCCUUGGAUUAAAGCUGGGGAUUCCCAAAAGAGCCCCAAGACUGGAGCAUGGCAUUUAAAAGGAGGAUGAGAGAAGAGGAUGUGAAGACUGAGAUGUGUAAGGACACUUUCCUGCCACCAGUAAUGAGCAUCUCAUUAUGCACAAAAUGCCAACUCCUUAAUUCUUCUAAACAACAGCAUCAGCCCUCCACCAUUCAUUUAAGGAAAUGACUGGAAAGAAUAUAUUUUGUUCCAACAUUUAAGAGGCAUGUUGCUCUUUUCUCCUUGUUUUCCAUGACUGUUUCAGAGUGCUCUUCUCCCCACUGACUUUUGGGCAUGUUCUGAAAGGUUAGACCUUGAGAAAGGAUUGAAAUAUAUAUAUUUUUUUUUAGCCACACACACACCCCCCCUCCCCAAAUCAAAAGGGCACCUUGAAAUAUGAAGGAAUAUUUUAUACAACUACAAGGUAAAGGAAACUUCAGUUUUGUGGAUUGGCCAUGCCCACCUGUUUAAUUCAAGGACAAAAGAUGAACUCUAGCUGUACCAGUUCCCUAAUAGCAGAGUUUUAUGAAUGUAAUUACAUUUUUCUCCAUUUUCCCCCUCUUUCUAUCCUGCUCUUUCUGUACUUAAAAAGAUUCCUUUGUUUAGAAUUAUAAUGAUUUCUGUUAGAAAUUAUAUUCAUUUCAGCUCCUGUCUUUUUGGAGUAUUGAUGGAUCCCGUUAAAGGGCAGCUCUGCUUUGAGCAGAACUGGCUGAAUUUUAAUGGUACAUAAAAGGAUUUCUGCAUAAUAGCAGACUUGAACAGGGCUGAGAGAGGGAGUCUUUUUUUUUUUUUUAAUCACCCUGGGGAUGUGCAGAAAGCCCCUUUGGCAGUUUUUCAUCCUCACAUUCCCUGUUUGGCUGUGUUUUCCAUCAGCCCCAUGCUCUGUCCAUCCAUCCCUGUCCCCAGCAGUUUCCAGCUGAGAUUCAGGCCCAGAUAAAGCUCCCACCAUCAGAGCAUUAAUUACCACCAUCCUGCUGCCCUUUUUGGAGAGUGUUCACUCCCAUGGAUGGUGUUUUCAUCCACCACAUACCCACCAAACUCCAGGUUCUUGCUCCAAAGAGUGAGAGGUACCCUGGACACAUGGACACUCCCCAGCAGCAGCUUCUCUGACAGCCCAGCUCUUUGUUAAAACAGUGUGAACUUGGCUAAAGCCCUGAAAAAGUCACAGAGUCACCUGAAUUUUAUAUCUUUUUAUGGUAUAAAAUGAGUUCAAUCCACCCUGUGUGUUGACAGUACCUCAGGGAAGGGUGAGAACUGGAAGCUGUGUGAGGAAAAGGGGAAAAAGAGCAACCACUUUCAAGAAAGCAAAAAGCAGACAUGGCACGUGGCAAAUCUCAGGUAGAUUUGGAAGAUCAGCUUGCUGAAGGCAUUAAAAUAAUAUUACAAUAAUAAUACAAACUGCCCUGAGCAUAUCAGGAGCCUUCCUGGGAGUCUGGAGGGCAGGGAAGGGUGGUGGGAAUUAAUUGGGAAGGUUAAUUAUGGACCCCAGUGUUCCCAGCUCUGGGGCUCAAGCAGGGCUCCUCACCAGAGCUUUUCUGUGGGAGGGACAAGGCAGAAGAGCUGAGCUUCAGGUGGGAGGGUCUGGGGAUAAAUCAGAAAGAUGAAAAAUAACAAACUGCCAGGAGCACAUGGGCUUCGCUCCUGAUGGGUUCUAAUGGAACUCAAAACCCGAAAUCCAAACUCAGGGUCUGAAAUUGCUGUUAAUGGGGAGGGUAAAAAUCUGAGGUUUUCAUCUUCCUCAGCACAGAGAAGGCAAAGGUUGCAACAGAUUCACUGAUUUUUUAAAGGCUGAAGGGGAGUCUGGAGAGCUGCAGGACUUUAGGGUGCAAAGGACAAAAGUUGCACUAAAGAACAGAAUUAAAAGAGUGGGAUAAGGAUGACAAAAUAGGAAAGAGCACGGCUUUGCAGAGAGAAGCUGUGCCUCACAAAAUAUUUCCUGAGAAAUCAGGGUGUCCAUAAGGGUGCUCUGGUGGCUGCAAUAAUCUGGGGUUCUCAAGAGCUUUUAACAAGUUCUCUCCUUAAAGGUUCUUAAGGAAAAUAAGCUGAAGGGAUAAGAAGGAAGGUCCUUUAGUGAUUUAUUUAGUGGGUAAAAGCUCAGAACAGUGGUCUCACCCUGCAGAGCCUGGGGCUAUCAGUCAGGCUUCACAAAAACCGUGCAAAGAGCUGGGGCAAUUCCAUUUCCUGGCAAAAUGAGUUUUUUCAGGGCAGAAAAAGCUAAAAUGAAGGCCUGCAGAAGCUUCUCUGAGAGAGUGGGGGAUAAAACAGAAGAUGGAAUUCACAUAUUAAGAAAUGUAGGAUAAUGACCACUGUGAAAAAACAACAUUAAUUACAACCUCCACAGUGAUGAGCUGUAGAUUAGCUAUUAGCAUUCAGGGGAGAGAUUUGGGGCUUGCUUUGAACAGCGCUAUGGAAACAAUAGCUCAAGGCUCGGUGGGAAUGAGUCAGAAGGUACAGAGAAUUUUAGAAAUUAUUAGGCAAGAGAACAUAGCAGGAAAUGUAAUUAAGCACUGUUCAGACUCCUUGAAAGCUGUGCAUAGCUUGGGUUCCCCUGAGAAGGAGAGGAACACAAAAAACACACACAGAAAGGCAGUGACAAGGGCUGAAAACCCAAACCAGCUCCCUCAUCGAGGGGCUGAACAGGGAAUGAGGCUUUUCCCUUCUCUUUAUGCAGCAAGCUGCAGGCCUCCCACAAAACAGGCCCAAAAUAUUUUGAAACAAAUGGGAGGCAGUUUUCUUUUUCUGGCACAGGACAUCUCUGAACUGCAGAACUCAUUGCUGCAGGAUUUUGUGGAUGCCACAUUCAGCCACACUAAAAAUCGGGAGAUAAAUCAGUGCAGGGGAAGAGUUCUGUGGAUAAAUGAGAAAUUCUUGGGUGGGAACAGCCUCAAAAAGCUGGGAAGGUGGGCUAGGGAAAGGAAACCUGUCCUUGAAGAUGUGGAAGGAUAAAAGGUCAGAAAGAGCACCCAGGGCAGAGGGGACUUUGUGCUGCCCUGUCCACAGCUGGAAUUCUGCUGGAGAAGCUUUAUUUCCUCGGAAGAAAGAAGUGAAACCUCACAUUACAGAAACCAAUCUUCCAGGUGGAUCCAACAGGCAGCACACAGAUGGAUUUUGUGUUGUUUCCUCUGGGUUCUGCUUUUUUUGGUUGUGUCCUUGUCUUCCCAUCACCCUGGUUUUCUCUGCCUGGCUGCUGCCUGCAGGACCAUGUGAUUGCUCCUCUUAAUGGCACAUGGACAACAUGAGCUGUCCCCCCAGCUGAUCUUAUUUA